rnacentral:rRNA from 1 species
GACGAACGCUGGCGGCAGGCCUAACACAUUCAAGUCGAGCGAGCGGCGGACGGGUGAGUAAUGUAUGGGGAUCUCCCCGAUUGCGGGGGAUAACUACUGGAAACGGUGGCUAAUACCGCAUACUAUCGUAUGCACCCAUAUGUGAUUAGCUAGUAGGUGGGGUAAAGGCUCACCUAGGCGACGAUCCCUAGCUGGUCUGAGAGGAUGACCAGCAACACUGGAACUGAGACACAGUCCAGACUCCUACGGGAGGCAGCAGUGGGGAAUAUUGGACAAGGGGCGCGAGCCUGAUGGAGCCAUGCCGCGUGUAUGAAGAAGGCCUGCGAGUAGUAAAGUACUUUCAGCGAGGAGGCGUUACUCGCAGAAGAAGCAACGGCUAACUCCGUGCCAACCGCCGCGGUAAUAC